rnacentral:rRNA from 1 species
GGACCCGCACAAGCGGUGGAGCAUGUGGUUUAAUUCGAUGCAACGCGAAAAACCUUACCUACUCUUGACAUACUUGGGAGCUCUUGUAAUGAGAGUGUGCCUUUUGGAACCAAGAUACAGGUGCUGCAUGGCUGUCGUCAGCUCGUGUCGUGAGAUGUUCCGUUAAGUCGGAUAACGAGCGCAACCCUUACCCUUAUUUGCCAGCGAUUCGGUCGGGAACUAUAAGGGGACUGCCGGUGAUAAACCGGAGGAAGGUGAGGACGACGUCAAGUCAUCAUGGCCCUUACGAGUAGGGCUACACACGUGCUACAAUGGGGAAUACAGACGGACGCUAAGCCGCGAGGUGGUGCUAAUCCUAGAAAGUCGUUCUCAGUUCGGAUUGGAGUCUGCAACUCGACUCCAUGAAGUCGGAAUCGCUAGUAAUCG